rnacentral:rRNA from 1 species
UACGUAGGGGGCAAGCGUUAUCCGGAUUUACUGGGUGUAAAGGGAGCGUAGACGGUUGUACAAGUCUGAUGUGAAAGCCCACGGCUCAACUGUGGGAGUGCAUUGGAAACUGUAGAACUAGAGUAUCGGAGAGGCAAGUGGAAUUCCUAGUGUAGCGGUGAAAUGCGUAGAUAUUAGGAGGAACACCAGUGGCGAAGGCGGCUUGCUGGACGAAAACUGACGUUGAGGCUCGAAAGCGUGGGGAGCAAACAGG